GUGUGCCCACCUCACAGCUGGCACGAGGAGAGGUAUUUAAAUGGCAUUAGGCACAAGGCUGCUGCAGUCCCAUCACUACAGAGAGAAACUUACUGAGAGCUUUUACUCUGAUAAAUUAACUCCUCGAUGAUAAAUCACCUUUCUUCACCUCUCUUUAACGUGUUUCCCUCUUCAAUAUCCUUACUACAAAUCUCAGUUAUUGCAGUGAUUUUGGUAAGACCUUGCUCUUUUGUAUUUC